ensembl:lncRNA
UAUUUAAAAAAAACAAGAAUCAAUGGUUUAUAUGAUGCGGCAAGGCUUAUUCUCACAAUUUCUCUUUCAACACUCUCUCUCUUCCUCUCUCACUUUAAUUGUCAAGUUCUCUCCAUCGCCGCAAGAGGCUUUUUUUUCUGUUCUCUCGAAAAGGGCACUUAGAUACCAACGUGGUGGCAGAGAAGAGAGCGCUUCAGACUGUCCGCGCUGCUCCUGCUAGGACUGCUCCUCAUAGGGGAUCAUAUAUUUUCGAAAAACACAAGUCGGAUAAAAAGGAACAGUCUCUCCCAACUUGCUACCCGAGUCUGCUUUGACAUUUUCCCACGUAAAAAGAGAGGGACUCUGGAAAGCCUUUGGUAACAUCAAAAGAUGGGAAACGGAACCAUAUUUUGGACGUGAGGACUUGCAGUCCCUGCGUUAAAAGGACAAGAUCACCAACAGAACUAAAGCCAACCUAACUAAAGCAGCUGUAAACGUGGGCUUGUAGAGGACGGAGAGUAUCCAUUCUACCACGCUCCAGAUCACCACUAGACAUUCUUCAGAGGACAAGAAAUCCAUGCUGGACAACCCAGCCUUCUAUCUACGACCAAUCUAUCGAAGGGCAGUUCAGAGUAAAUACUGUAUUUAUUGCAUUUUCCUUUUUCAAAUGGGUGGUUAUUUAGAAUGCAUAAGAUACUGUAUUUACGAUAGCAUUGUUUCUUCCUUUGUUACUUUUUCUUCCCGCUCUUUUUCUCUCAAACCCAACCCCCUUUCUUUGUGUAACCAGCCGUCAUAUCUGUUCCAUCCGCUAAGGACAUUUUCCUUUAUGAUAAUGUGUUCAUAAUAAUAAUAUUGAUAAUCAAAUCAAAUUUAUUUA